rnacentral:lncRNA from 1 species
GCCGAGCAUGCGCACCACGGCGUGCAGUGCUGGUCCCGCCCCCGACUCUGAUUGGACAACCGUUGCAGUUAAGAAGCACAGCCUCAUCUGAGCAGAGGUCUCUGGUGAGACCCCUCCGGCCGCUGCAGGUGGAAAGCUGUUGUUUGCUGCUACUAUGGUGCCUCUCUUUCCACGGGGUGAAGUCAGGGUGAAAACUUUGGAAACCCUUCCUUCUGGCUUUUUGAGAUAUACUGUACAACUCUCUCUGCAGUCACCCUGCUAUGCAACCUCGUGCUAAAAUUCUUCUAGCUUUCUGAGUGUGAACUAAAGUUUCUUCUUCAUAGUUAGCAUUUCACUUCAUCUGAAAAGCUACAGCUUGUCCAGAGACCCACCUCCCAUGACUCUACAUUCUAU